CACAUAAAACUCAAGUUGCUUCUGUUUUUAACAGUGAUACUGCUUAGGAGUCAUUAACAUAAUCUAGGACAAUUGCCAUGCCUGACUCAUCCUCUACCGGAACCAGAAAAAUAAUUUUCCAGCAGAGAAAUCUCACAAUUCCACAGAAAUUUGUCAUCUAAAAAAAAAAGAAGAACAAAAAAGGAAAAAAAAAAGGAUUUAAAAAUUGUUCUGGCUCCUUGGAGCUUCUCUUCUCUUGCCUGGGUUAAAUGUGACAAGCCACCACCUUCUUGACUCAGCAAGUUAUAAUCUGUGAUGUGAUAUUAUAUAAGCACCCAGGAUAAGACUCAACACAUUGGAGACAUAUGACAUGCUGUCCAGGGAAGGACUACCUCAGAAAUACAUUUUCUCACAUUUUUAUAUGUCUUUUCAACAUAGGGGAUAAUCAGGACUAGGGAACUCUUCAGUUAUUACUUCAUAACAAGGUGAAAUUGGAAGCAUAGUUAUGUAUUCCCUACCACCUCCCCUAUCCAGCUAUUAAGGUUGCAUUUUUAGUGGCAUAUAAUUAAUCACUUGUGAUUUAUCUUCAUUCCCUUAGGACAAUUGUAUAAUCUUGUGUCUGCACUUUUGAGGUUCCCUGCAACAGUCCUGGUAUAAAUGUUACUGACAACUAAUGCUUCAUUAGCAGCAAUUACUCACACCUACAUCCUUGUACUAGAGUCACUGAAUAGGUCAAUCUACAAGAAAGCCCUAACAGUCUAUAUAGAGGAUAUUAUACAGAUAAAGUAUUUUUUUUAACUUUUCAUUGUUGUCAUCUAUUAGUUUCAGAAAUAUUGGUGGUAUGUUAUCAAAACUGCACUGAAUAUUGCUCUCCAUACAGAUCAGACCUGAAACACAUGAAGGUGAUGUAUCCUGAAAAAAAUGACAGCAAAAACAGCCCGGCCCUUCUCCACAUAUUUACUCUUUCUUAUGCCUGUUAUUCAGCUACUUCCUUCAAUCAAUGUAGAAAGCAGGUUGAAGGUGCCUCAGGCUCAUAGUCAAAACAAAUUGGAAAGACAUCUUGUGCAUAUCUCUUUUCAGGAAAGUUCUCUAAAGAUACAACUGUCUGCAAAGACAUAGAGUCUUACCUGCAUUACCAAUCCACCCUCACACUGAUGAAUUCUUCUGUUCCACAACACAACUGUUUUGAAACAUUAACAGGAUAAAUGACAAAUGUGUAUUUUAUUUUGCGUCUUCAAUCACUGAUGACAACUUAAGUUAGGAAGUCUGAUAAGAUUUAAUCACAGAAAAGAAGUGUAAUAUUAAAAGAAAACAUGGGAAUGAGGGCCCAGGUAAGGACUUCUUUCCAGGAAAAACUCCAUCCCUGUGAUAAAACAGCACUUUGAAGGCCAGAAAACAAUGGCACUUUCUUCAACACAUUCAUGAGAAACAUGUAGCUCACAACGUCCAGAAAAGCAGAGACAAAGGCUUUUUGGCAGAGAACUUUCAUCAUCUGUAGAGUUAUGUAGUAAAAGUGAUGAUUCUGGUUUUGGUAUUUAUUUUCUAGUUUCUAACAGCACUUUACGUAGUUUGGUGCUCUCAAAAAAUAAAUUUUGCUUGAGAAUAUUUCAACAACAACAACAAAAAAUCACAAAAGUAAAAACCAAUAAGAAAAAAGCAGAUAUACCAUUUCAUAUGCUUUCUAAACAGUCGGCACAGUAAAAUUACCAGAAUUCAUAUCUCUAUAUUUAUCCCUGCAGAAGAGCUGACAUCCAGCAAUCCACAUAAUGAUGAUUUAGCAGAGUUUUUUUCACUUAUUGUCCCAUGUUUGUUUUAUUUUCUUUUCAUUUUCCAUUCACUGGACUCUCAUGUGAUUUUACUAACCCAGAAGGCAAGUGCCCCACUAAGUGAACAAAUUUAAUUUGCCAGAUGAUUCAAUAGAGUAAAAAGUCCAGCAAGAAUGUAGAUGAAGCUACAGAGCAAGAGCUCUUUUUCCUUGACCACAUUUUUUUGAGCUAUUUCAUCUUUUAUAUUAAUACAUAAUUCUAUUAUUUUUAAAUUAUUUUUAUAAAAUCAGUGUGGGGAUGGUUAACUUUUCAUUUGCCAUAUUUUGUCUAGGCAAGUAAAAUUUAUUUUAUUUCAUUAUAAGUAGUAGGGGUGGGAAUUCAUGUAACUGCUUGAUGAUGAGCUUCAUAACAAAAUAAAGUUUGCAAUGUCUUGUUGCGACAGUCUACCUCAUUUUUUUAAACUGCAUUUUUUAGUAUUUGUCCAAAGUAUUCUGCUAAUCUAUUUUGAAUUGGAUAACAAAUAUCUGAUCUAAUGCAUUUUCUCACUUAUUUUUCUUCAGGAAAACUGGAAAUUCUGCAGGGAAAAAGAAAAUUCUUUAUCUAAAACAGUCUCUCCAGGCACGCCAUACGAGAAAAAGUAAAAUCACACUAUGCCUCAAUAGUUUUAACAGAAAUUAUUAUCAUUAGUGCCACUUCUGGCAUCCUACAACAAACACAAUUUAUAAUUAUGUACAUGUAUUUAUUUUUGUCUACUAAACAAGAUGCAGUAUUUCUACCAAGGUUUACUGCCAUUUUCAUCAAAGUAUAAAGUGAUUUGAGUGACAAUGUUUGUAUUGAUUUCCUCUUUCAAUACUACUCUAAAGGCUCUUACCAUAAAGAAUAAUUUCUCUAUGGUUUUAUUUAUUUAUUCAUUUAUUUAUAUUUUUACUGUGUGUUCACUUCAGGAUGCUAGAAUGAAAGUUACAUUUUGUAACUUGGAGUAUGAACAUUAACUGAAUGGCAAAGUACAUACAGUAACUAUACACAGAAACUCUUGUGUGUCCCUACUCUGCGAACACACAAAACCAGCAUGUUUUCUUUCAGCUUGUACAAAUUUUCAGUCUUGUAAUUCUCCUAACUACAUUUUUAUAAGUUGUUAAAAGCUGGAGAAACUAUUAAGAAGGAUAUGCAAUCAAAAUUUUAGAUUUAAACAAAAAAUUAAUUUUGUCAAUAGAUCAACAAUAUGGUACACCAUACUCUAUUCAUAUUGUCUUCAAAUAAGUUUGGUUAGGUAGAGAAUAACCAUUUGAAUCUGUACAAAUACACAGAAUGCAGAAACUUAUGCAUGAAAGUAAUUUGGUAAUUAAUUUCUCUUUAUAUAUAAAGUCUUUGACUUUUAUCACUAUUACUCUGAAGACUUUGUUUUCUUUUUUGUUUUCUUUUUCCUAUAACCUGUCUUUGGAAAUGAUAGACUGUUCAUUGCUCUUUCGGGUUUAUAUGUCAAGAUGGUGGUAGCAGGGAGCUGCAGGUAUGGUCUCUGUGACAGACACCAAAGCCAAAGAGGAGGCUGAGUCUGUUUUGUCAUGGUGGUAAUUGGCAAGAUCAUGUUUUUGAAAAGGACAUUGAAAAUGGGCUGCCAUGUGUAGAGGGUUGAACUAACUGCUGACCAUCCCAUAGGAGUACACUGUUUGUAGCAGGAUAGCAACUAGUUUUGAAGGUGUGAAACCUCUUUUCUACACUGGAGAAGGAGAAGAGAGAAAUUGCAGCUUGGAUGAGAGUCAUGGUUGUCUGCUUUUGUGAUUAUGACAGGGGCUGGUUCAGAGAAACAAACCAAACCAAGGUGAUAUCCAGAGUUCCAAAUGCAGAACAGAAUUUUUAGUGUGCAACAGUUCUGUGGGUCCCAGCUCAGGAAGAGGUCAGCUGCCAUUUGGUCUGAGGAGGACAUAGACAAAAACCUGAGUAAUUGGAGCAUGAUGAAGACUUAACAUUUUCAUUUGAGGCAAGAAACAGUCAGAUUUUGAGAUCAUGAAGAAAUCUAGUUCAUCCCAAGUCUAACACAACUGAAAACAUUACUUCUAAAUGUAUUACAAUUCAAAAUGACAUGUUUAAUGGAGAAUGUUGUCAAUAUUUGUAUUUAAACAUAUCACUGUAGCUUUCAGAAAAUAACGUGUAAUUUUUAAAUGUUUGGAAUAAUUUUCAAUCUCUUCCAUAUUGACUGAAGUACUUCUUAAGCAAAUGUUUGCAUAUGUAAUUAGAAAACUGUAUGCCUGAAUAUUUGCAGCAAUUAUAUUUGCAGCACUGUACAUUUUUGGACAUUCCUACAAUUGAAAUCAGUUGCCUCAAAUAUUUACACUUAUUAAUUCAUUUUAAAAUAUUAUCACAGACACUUCAGUUAUACUAGAAAUCUAUGCUAUGUUAUUAGUUCAUACACAUAUAGUAUGGCCUUUUCU